GGCAAAUGAAUGCAUGGGAUGCUUAUUAUGUAUUGUGUGCCAGAAAAAGGUAAGGUAUAAAAAGCACUUUUUUUUUGGUGCGUUUGAAAUGGGCACCAUAAAGCUUUAAGUGACCGUACUCCAUUUUUUUUUUUUCUUCAGGGUCAGAUAAUUCUGGAUGCUAGCGCCACUCACUGUUCACUCUUGCUAGAUGUUUUUGGGUUGCUCCUUGCUCUUACGCUGGUACUGGUCUUUUCGGUCAGCGCUCAGUUUAUUCUUACCAUGGAUUCAAGCAGCAUCAGUGAUGAAGACUGUGAAGCCUGUAAGUAGAGCUCUCUUUCAACAGUAAUGCAAUCAAGCAUCUUUGUAGAAUUGACUGAAAUGAGAUUUGGGACACUUGGCUUGAUCUGGUCCUAGGUUUGCCCCCUCUAGUGUUCUCUCUGGUUUGCUGAAAUGAAGUUUAUUUCCCUGCUGUCAAGAGCAGAUCUUCAUGUUUUCUUUAUGUGUUGUUUAUCCCCUUUUUGGUUCCUGAUGAGUCUUCUUUCAUUUCCUCUCAGUCUUUCUUGGAGGUUAUAAAUUCUUUUCUCUCUUCCGUCUUCCUCCCUCUCUUCCUUUCUUUGAUUUUCUUUCCAUUGUUGAACAUAGAACCCAAAGUGGCUAGGCAGUGUUCUACUAUGCCCACAGUUUUAGGGAAAUGUAAAUUUUACUAGCUCUAGUUUAUAAACUGGUUUUCAGGAGUAAAAGACAUGAGAUACUAGGUUUUAUCAUGCUUCCUAAUGCUUUUUCUUUCCUUUAUUUAGAUAUGUCUGAAUUGCUGGAGAAAAGGUCCAGCUGUGUGGUGAUCAAGUCAGACUCUGAUUCUGAUUCUCCCUCUAAGGAAAAGAGAGCUAAGAUCUGUGAAAUGAGCAGUGAAGGCAAGUAUCAUUUUCACUUAGAGAAAUAGCUGAGCUCUGAAGCCUUGUCACAUGUGGCAGUUUUAGGAUCUGACUUUGCACACUUUUAGUUUAUGAUGACUUCAUAGCCAGUGCCACCAUUUCUUUUUCUAUCAUGUGCUGGAUAUCAGUAUGACUGGGUUCCCACUCCUUGUUUCAUAAUACAGUUGCAGCUCUUCUUGCUGCCUAAGACAUGGGUAGAGUUCUGUCUGCCUAGACUCUGCUCCUCCCUCUUCCUCUCUUUCCAUUCUUUAUAAGUAAGCAUGGC
rnacentral:lncRNA from 1 species